AUUGAACGCUGGCGGCAUGCCUUACACAUGCAAGUCGAACGGCAGCACGGGUGCUUGCACCUGGUGGCGAGUGGCGAACGGGUGAGUAAUACAUCGGGACAUGUCCUGUAGUGGGGGAUAGCCCGGCGAAAGCCGGAUUAAUACCGCAUACGAUCUACGGAUGAAAGCGGGGGACCUUCGGGCCUCGCGCUAUAGGGUUGGCCGAUGGCUGAUUAGCUAGUUGGUGGGGUAAAGGCCUACCAAGGCGACGAUCAGUAGCUGGUCUGAGAGGACGACCAGCCACACUGGGACUAAGACACGGCCCAGACUCCUACGGGAGGCAGCAGUGGGGAAUUUUGGACAAUGGGCGAAAGCCUGAUCCAGCAAUGCCGCGUGUGUGAAGAAGGCCUUCGGGUUGUAAAGCACUUUUGUCCGGAAAGAAAUCCUUGGCCCUAAUACGGUCGGGGGAUGACGGUACCGGAAGAAUAAGCACCGGCUAACUACGUG
rnacentral:rRNA from 1 species